AACGAACGCUGGCGGCAUGCCUAACACAUGCAAGUCGAACGAGACCUUCGGGUCUAGUGGCGCACGGGUGCGUAACGCGUGGGAACCUGCCCUUAGGUUCGGAAUAACUCCCCGAAAGGGGUGCUAAUACCGGAUAAUGUCUUCGGACCAAAGAUUUAUCGCCUUUGGAUGGGCCCGCGUUGGAUUAGCUAGUUGGUAGGGUAAAAGCCUACCAAGGCGACGUUCCAUAGCUGGUCUGAGAGGAUGACCAGCCACACUGGGACUGAGACACGGCCCAGACUCCCACGCGAGGCAGCAGUGGGGAAUAUUGGACAAUGGGCGAAAGCCUGAUCCAGCAAUGCCGCGUGAGUGAUGAAGGCCUUAGGGUUGUAAAGCUCUUUUACCCGGGAUGAUAAUGACAGUACCGGGAGAAUAAGCGCCGGCUAACUCCGUG
rnacentral:rRNA from 1 species